CAAAAAAUACCAGCACUAAUGCAACGGAUCCCAUCAGCACUCCGCAGUUAAGCGUGCUGAGGUGAGAGUAGAACUAGGAUGGGUGAUGUGACGCCCCGAAAAAUACUUCUCAAAAACAUUGC
rfam:Lupinus angustifolius cultivar Tanjil chromosome LG09, whole genome shotgun sequence.